GGACCCGUGGCCUAGUCAGGAUAGGGCACCAGCCUCCUAAGCUGGCUAUCGUGGGUUCAAAUCCCACCGGGUCCG
rnacentral:tRNA from 1 species